UUUGUUGUUGUGGGUGCUUGCUGCUUUCUGCACUAGUGAAUGUUUGUGAUUUACCUUGUUUUUCUUUUCAAUUGUUCAUAGGUUAUCAAUGACAGGUUCGGAAUUGUUGAGGGUCUCAUGACCACAGUGCAUUCCAUCACUGGUGAGCUUUUACUCUUGAGUUUUGAAGUUGUAUGAUUUUUUAUAACAUGAAUUGAAUUUGAAACUAACCUAAGUUUAUGUUUACCUUGUUAUUCAGCCACCCAGAAGACUGUUGAUGGUCCAUCACAGAAGGACUGGAGAGGUGGACGUGCUGCUUCCUUCAACAUCAUUCCUAGCAGCACUGGAGCUGCCAAGGUAAUUGGUGAAUUUUGAUUAACAAUGCUCUCUACUAUUGACUGUCUCUUGUAAGGUGUCUUGCAAUGCUAUCUUGACUAAUGUGUUUGUAUGUUGUGUGUUUUAUGAAGGCCGUCGGAAAGGUGCUCCCAGCACUUAACGGAAAGUUGACCGGAAUGGCUUUCCGUGUGCCCACUGUUGAUGUUUCAGUUGUUGACCUUACUGUCAGGCUUGCGAAGCCUGCAAGCUAUGACCAGAUCAAGGCUGCUAUCAAGUAAGCUUUGCUCUGUUCUUCUAUAUGUUUGGUAUCCUUUAUCAGGAUGUUGCUGUUUAAAUAACCAUGACGUUGUUGUGGUGCUAAUUUUUAUCUGUGAUUCUGUCAUGAACAGAGAGGAGUCUGAGGGCAAGCUGAAGGGUAUCUUGGGAUACACCGAAGAUGAUGUUGUGUCCACUGACUUCAUUGGUGACAGCAGGUAAAAUAUUAAAUCCAUUUUUGAUGAAUGUGGUAUUGUUAUCCAUUGUCAAUAUUAUGUUAAAACAGUUUUGAAUCUAAGUUUGCCCCUUAAAAAACGUAGGAUUGUUGUGCUCUCCUAUGGUGUUUUUGCUGAUUGUUCGUUAGAUACCAUGAAUGUAGCCUAAUUAGGUGUUUUGGUGCUCUUGCAGGUCAAGCAUCUUUGACGCCAAGGCUGGAAUUGCAUUGAACGAUACCUUUGUCAAGCUCGUCUCAUGGUAUGACAAUGAGUGGGGUUACAGUACCCGUGUGGUUGACUUGAUCGUGCACGUAGCAUCCACCCUCUAAAUCCAUAAUCCUUGAGGAUCCAAGGCCUUUAUUUUCCAAGUGUUGAGUGUCUCUAGG
rnacentral:lncRNA from 1 species